UUAUUGAAUCUGUUUAUUUUAUUACGAAACUGUAAAAAUUAUAUGAGCUUAUGAGUCAACAUUACUUAGCCUAGGGAUUCAGAUGCUUAUUUAUGUAAAAGUCACAAAUUUAAAGAAACUUCCAACUUUGAUAAUUAUAUUUUGUAUUCAUAUCUUUCAAAUAAAAGUCAAUUGUGAUCUGGUUUUUCAAGUUUUGAUAAAGUUACCAUAACCAAUUCUACGGGUACACAGAAACUACCGUCAACCCGCUAAUGAUUGUUACACCUCCUUAACUACCGGUAAAACCACAUUCAUUAAUCUCUAUAGUGAAAAAUUAACAAGUUAGAAAUAUAUAAAAAAACAGUAAAAUUAACAAUAGCAAGACGAUAACCAACACAUAGUGAAGUUUUAUAGAACAAAAUAAUAACAAAAAUGAAAUAUCUUAAAGUUAUGAUGUGGUGGUUAGCCUAUUUAAGUAGUUAAGAUUUUCCACUAAAUCCACAGUUCCCCUGCCCACCACGCCGUCGGCCCACCAUCCCGUCGGCCCACCACCCCAUCGGCCUACCACCCCGUCGGCAUUAAAUACUCUGAAGGCUGCGGCAGGAGACACGUGAGAUCUAUCUGGAGUGACUUCUGGCCAUAUUUCAGCGGCGGGAUGAAUAAUUUAGUCCAGCUCGGUGAAAAUUUUUUAAUUCAGCUUCAGCCAUGGCAUCAUAACCUUCCUACUUAGUUCAUGUGGGCACUUGAACAAACCUGGUUUAAGUUGGGAGGUUCUAAAUAUUUAUCUUGUGCUAGUUUAGAUAUAAAAAAUACGUGUUUGUACAAUAAACUUUAAUAUAACCAUA